UGAGGAAUUUUCUGCAAUGGGCGAAAGCCUGACAGAGCAAUACCGCGUGAAGGAUGAAGGCCUAUGGGUUGUAAACUUCUUUUCUCAAGGAGGAAGAUCUGACGUUACUUGAGGAAUAAGCAUCGGCUAACCCUGUGCCAGCAGCCGCGGUAAUACAGGGGAUGCAAGUGUUAUCCGGAAUCAUUGGGCGUAAAGCGUCUGCAGGUGGAUAUGUAAGUCUUUUGUUAAACCUUUGGGCUUAACCCAAAAUCUGCAAAAGGAACUACAUAUCUUGAGUAUGGUAGAGGUAAAGGGAAUUUCCAGUGGAGCGGUGAAAUGCGUAGAUAUUGGAAAGAACACCAAGAGCGAAGGCACUUUACUGGGCCAGUACUGACACUCAGAGACGAAAGCUAGGGGAGCAAACGGG
rnacentral:rRNA from 1 species